rnacentral:rRNA from 1 species
AACGAACGCUGGCGGCAUGCCUAACACAUGCAAGUCGAACGAGACCUUCGGGUCUUGUGGCGCACGGUUUCGUAACGCGUGGGAAGCUGCCCUUAUGUUCGGAAUAACUCUCCGACAGGGGUGCUAAUACCGGAUAAUGUCUUCUGACCAAAGAUUUAUCGCCUUUGGUUGUGCCCGCGUGGGAUUAGCUAGUUGGUAGGGUAAAAGCUUACUAAGGCGACCAUCCAUAGCUUGGUUGAGAGGAUGAUCAGCAACACUGGGACGAAGACACGGCCGAGACUCCUACGGGAGGCAGCAGUGGGGGAUAUUGGAACAUGGGCGAAAGCCUGAUCCAGCAAUGCCGCGUGAGUGAUGAAGGCCUUAGGGUUGUAAAGCUCUUUUACCCGGGAUGAUAAUGACAGUACCGGAAGAAUAAGCCCCGGCUAACUCCGUG